GGCCUGUUUCCUGUUUAAAGCUCACUGGAAUGUAAACCCAAGUCCAUUAGAUGGUGCAGUUGUAGGGAUGAGCGAGAGGGGGGGCACUAGCCUGCACGCUGACGUCAAUAAAAACAGUCAUUUCCAACCAGUCUGCGCAUUGACCGACCAUUCAAAACAUUACGCACAGCAUCGCGGCUGGACCACGCUAGACUACUCGACUGAAAUAAAAUGUUCGCCGAGCCCGGAGAGCGGAGACAAUGAGGAGAAGCUCCAUUGCAGGUGCGGGAGCAUCUCGGGAGUGUGAAGGCGAGGGGGGGGAGUCUCUCAUGGCGGAUCAUCACCACCUCCGUGCUCUACGCUUUUAGCCUCUUUACAGUGCUGCCUUGUCUAAUCAUGUUCAAGCAGCAUUGUACAGGGCUAUGACAGCGUAGAGAGCUGAGCUGCGUUUGUCUGACCCUUUGGAUGGCAGCCAGUCAAUGACAUCAUCCCUCAUAAACACACACAGCGGUGAGGAUUGUGGUCUCCGUGUGAAUCGAUGCCAAUACAGUGUCUUUUAAAGUUCAUGCGGAUGUGGUCAGGAGCUGGAACGGAUUGCUGGCACACAUGAAGUCCACCUUGAGGUUGAAUUUAUUCAACCUAAAAUCCCCUUUGCAGCCGGUAUAUUAUUGAACUCGUCAGUCACAUUGCGUUGCGCUGCUCUUGGAUCAGCCCUUGUGUGUGUGUGUGUGUGUGUGUGUCUCCUGUGUUACCAUUAUAUUCCGGUCACAGAGCUGAGCAUCCGCCCCUCCACCCCCAAUUGAAUAAGUAGUUCUUUUGAUGUGUUUAAGGGUUUUAACCAUUAAAAGAGCUGCAAUCAUGAGAGGCACACAAUACUUUCAGAUAUAGGUCAGUGAUUGGUUGUGUGUGUACUCGGCUGCAACCAGCGAUUUGUUAAUCUGAUGGGCUUUUUUCUUGAUUCAAAGAAUAGACAAAGAAAAUCAGCAUCUCUAAAGAAUUUUUGCUUAAAAAAUGACGAUUAAUCGAUUAUUAUAAUUUUUUUUGUCAUUUUGUCAAUUGUUUUAGCUGUAAUGUCGACCACAGAUAUAUAAUGUACUAUUAAAAAGAUUCAAAUGUG